rnacentral:lncRNA from 1 species
AUGGCGAGCUUUUCAUUCAUUCUCCCUGAAGACGGGCAUUGUUCUUUUAAGGACAACGACGUUAGCUCAGGGUGGAUCUCAAUGGUGACCCAACUCAACACCCUUGAAGGUCCAGAGUCAGAGAGUCAGAACAUCCAUCAGAGCGUUGCAGAGGUGCUUGGUGACAAGUACCACUACGCAAAUGACAUUGACAGCUCUCUGCUCUGGACAGUUGGGUACACCCCCUACAUUCCCCCAGCUCUGAAAGGAAGAAGUUUCCUCUCUGUCGAGAACGUCUUCCUGGAUGAGUGGGAGCCACUGACACUCCUGCAGACUCCUCAGGUUCUGUCCACCAGUGUUACCAUCGUGGAGAAUGACCUGUUCCAGUCUGCUGCAGGCCUAGUAUCUCAGGUUCUGUCCACCAGUGUUACCAUCGUGGAGAAUGACCUGAUCCAGUCUGAUGCAGGCCUAGUGUCUCAGGUUCUGUUCACCAGUGUUGCCAUCGUGGAGAAUGACCUGAUCCAGUCUGCUGCAGGUCUAGUGUCUCAGGUUCUGUCAUCCAGUGUUACCAUCGUGGAGAAUGACCUGAUCCAGUCUGAUGCAGGCCUAGUGUCUCAGGUUCUGUCCAUCAGCAUUUCCAUCGUGGAGAAUGACCUGUUCCAGUCUGCUGCAGGCCUAGUAUCUCAGGUUCUGUUCACCAGUGUUACCAUCGUGGAGAAUGACCUGUUCCAGUCUGCUACAAACCUAAUGUCUCAGGAUAAUGACUCCACCCCGAGAGCCUCCAACCAACCUGAGGUCCUUGUGGCUUAUGUUUCAACCAAGAGAAGUAGUCUAACCAUCACUAUUUCUAUGGUUUCAACCAAGAGUUGCCUUGUUGCUUUACAUGAAGUUGAUGCCAGUGCUACAAGCCUGGAGCAAUCUGCUGAGAAAAUGUCUACCUCUACCACUGAUGUCAACGACAUCUCAACUGCUGCUGCCAAGAAGAAGAAGAGGUGUGGAUUAUUCUCAUCUCUCUGGAGAGCUCUCAGGGGGAAGAACAAGAAGCCUGGAAGUAAUAACUCAUACACUCUUAGUCUCUUUUGUACCUAAUAUAAUCAUUUAUCAACUAUUUUGAUACUGAAAUCCGGUGUUAAUGGCCUGUCUGUGAAAUAAGUUUUCUAUAUUUUCUACCUUUAGUUUUUUCCAGGCUAAAGUGGCUUCCAAGAAAGAGGAUGAAAUCAACAAGGAUGUGAGCAGCCUCACCUGCCACCACAACACCACACAGGGAGAUCACUGAUGCAGACACCCACAAUGGUGUUCCUGUUUUUUUUUAUCACACUUUGUCUUCAUCCCCAAUCCCUUCCUCGACCCCACCCGUUUUAUAUUCUGUAAACCUUUUGUCAUUGCAUUUGAUCAUGUUUGUCUCUCAUUGGUAUCACUGUCAUUGAAAAUGGAAGGGGUUUCGUAGUUCAACUACUUGUCAAUAAAUCACUGGUUAACCUUCAAACUCCGAAUUGAGACAACCGAGGCAAAGACGUCAGCAGGAGGGCAACUGUGACCUUCAGAAAUAUGCAAUUAUGUGAAAAGUUUGUAACCACGUAACAACGCUAAUGCGAUCAGUUAUGUCCACAUUUUCCGGAGAAUAACAGGCAUUCUCGCUCAGGGCCUCAAGAUGGAGUAGUAAGCACAAUUAUAAUGGUUCCCCUCAUAAUGAUGCUUUUAUCAGCUGUUGGAUAUGGGGAUAUUCCCAUAUUAGGAAUUCCUGUGGGAGAUUUAUACCGGUGAAUAAGUAUGAUAAUUGGACAUGGAUUGUCUCUGGCUACUGAGGAUUUCCAUCAUAUGAUUGUAGCCUAGGUUAUGAUUCUGUUAUGAUGAGGUUUACAUUGCAGUUGUCUCCUUAGACAUGACUGACCCACGGUAUUGAAGUCUAUUACACCACGUUGAUGCAUCAUGAAAACACCCAUGUGUGUGCAGGAGUUUAACCACAGGCAUAAUGUAGACAAGGUGUUUAUGUAAAGCAAGUGUGUUUUCAGUUUGUUCUUUGUGAGCUAUUGUCAGAUUAAGACAUAUAACAGAUGAUAUGACAUGGCUAUAGUUUAUGUUUCAAACCACCACCAACAAAACACCAACCCUGUUCUCAAUUAAAUUCACUAUUCUGCUCCAUUUCCGAGGGCUCUUUUACAACACAAUGUUAUGAUAAUGAAACCUGAAACCAAUAGCCAUCUCCAUUUAGGUUACAGCAAGAGGCUAAAAAUAUCCAGUUCUGACUGCUAGUAGUCACGACCUAAAUUAUGACAAAAUUCUGCACCACUGGUAGUUGACGUCAAUACAGUACAGUCACUUCCUCGGUGACGUAAUCGAACGGACUCGGUCGGUAGCAUUGCCAUCUGGUGGAUGGACUCCGACUCGAGCCCCGUAACAUUACGUCAUUGGAAAGAAACCGAAGCCAGUGUUUGGGUCUGGGUUUCAAUACAAACGGAUGAAUAGCCGACCAUUAGAACUGAUACUCGACAGCAACAACUUGAGCUACAAUUAAUACGCCUUUAGGCUACAGUAAACUCUUAAAUAACUACUCAAUAUGCCUCAGACGUUUUCUGGAGAGUUUUGGGGAAUCUUGUGACUAAGAAUGUUUCAAAUUAAUUGAGUGCGCUUCAUUGGUAAUGAGAAAAUAGUUGCACAGUCAGCAUAACAGCGUAGGGGUUUUUGACUUCAGUUCAUUGACAUGUAUGUAAAUUCUACUGUAUAGACUAGCCAGUAUCAUGGUCGUCGUGCAUUUUUUGUUUAAUAUACUUCAAAAGACAAGGGCUCGACAAUGAAGUGAAUGGAUAGAUAGUAAAAACUAGCAUUAGCUGAUUUAAAACUGUUGCAAUUAUGAUACUUAGGAGUUGUGCGUAAAUGUCUCUGUCCAUGGUGCUGAAAUGUUUUUUCUUUAUCGUGACUGAGAAACGCAUUGCAGGAUGUCCAUUGUACUGAUCCUAUUUUAUGGACAAUCAAAUAUGUUAUUCGACUCUACUGAUACACACUGUAUGUUCAUCCAGCUAUAUGUUAUGUUGAAUAUUGUUUGAAAUAUAGCUGGUAAGGGUGAUUGCCAUUUGCAUCUCUGACGCAACUUUGAGGAAUCAAACUGAACGCUGUAAAGUCUAAGACGUUGAACUCUGUUUUUGGUUAAUAUUUGCAGAUGUGUGUGUGUGUGUGUGUGUGUUGUGCCAGCCAGGGUGGCGUGACUCCUGAAAUAAGUGAGGUUGGAAAACGUGUUGUUCUUGCAUGCUUUAUCUUGGCCAGGUAGCAGUUGCAAAUGAGAACUUGUUCUCAACUAGCCUACCUGGUUAAAUAAUUCUCAAAUUCGUAAAAGUGCGUGCACAAUCACAAGGAAGAAAGAUGCGAGCUCUGGGGGCUGCAUUCCCAUUGACUGUUCCAUCUCCCUGUCAGUGGCUGCAACAUUAGCAG